UUCUCUGUACAUAAAUGGGCAGAUGGAUCCCUGGUUGUUUUCCCGUUGUCACCAAUGCAACUGAGGGACCCAUCUGAGUGACAGCUAAGGUUAACUGUCUGGACAGCUGCGAGUCAAGCCUUCAAGACACGCUGCUUUAUCUGAUUGGUCUCAGUCUUGAUCUGGCACAUGAAAGGAAAUGUGAGGAAGUUUCAAGCAGAGAUCAUUUUGCAAGUCCAAAGAUGAGGCUCAAACCCACUCUGUUACUGUACUAUGCAAGCUGUUUGCUUUCUACUGCUUGGGAGUUUAGGCUGUUUGGAGAGAUUGCAAGUGAAUCUUUUCCACAGAAGAUUUUUGUAGCCAUGUUAUACUGCUAUCGAAAAGAUCUGA